rnacentral:rRNA from 1 species
UACGUAGAGUGCAAGCGUUAAUCGGAAUUACUGGGCGUAAAGCGUGCGCAGGCGGUUGUGCAAGACCGAUGUGAAAUCCCCGGGCUUAACCUGGGAAUGGCAUUGGUGACUGUACGGCUAGAGUGUGUCAGAGGGGGGUAGAAUUCCACGUGUAGCAGUGAAAUGCGUAGAGAUGUGGAGGAAUACCGAUGGCGAAGGCAGCCCCCUGGGAUAACACUGACGCUCAUGCACGAAAGCGUGGGGAGCAAACAGG